rnacentral:rRNA from 1 species
GGUCCCAAGGGUUGGGCUGUUCGCCCAUUAAAGCGGUACGCGAGCUGGGUUCAGAACGUCGUGAGACAGUUCGGUCCCUAUCCGUCGUGGGCGUAGGAAAUUUGAGAGGAGCUGUCCUUAGUACGAGAGGACCGGGAUGGACAUACCUCUGGUGUACCAGUUGUCGUGCCAACGGCAUAGCUGGGUAGCUAUGUGUGGACGGGAUAAGUGCUGAAAGCAUCUAAGCACGAAGCCCCCCUCAAGAUGAGAUUUCCCAACUUCGGUUAUAAGACCCCUCAAAGAUGAUGAGGUUAAUAGGUUCGAGGUGGAAGCAUGGUGACAUGUGGAGCUGACGAAUACUAAUCGAUCGAAGACUUAAUCAA